CAGCACCUCAAGUGGUCAGGAUGAUUAUUGGGCCUAAAGCAUCCGUAGCCUGCUUUGUUAGUUUUCGGUUAAAUCUGUACGCUCAACGUACAGGCUGCCGGGAAUACUGCAGCGCUAGGGAGUGGGAGAGGUAGACGGUACUCGGUAGGAAGGGGUAAAAUCCUUUGAUCUAUUGAUGACCACCUGUGGCGAAGGCGGUCUACCAGAACACGUCCGACGGUGAGGGAUGAAAGCUGGGGGAGCAAACCGGAUUAGAGACCCGAGUAGUCC
rnacentral:rRNA from 1 species